CAAGAUAUGCCUUGGAGAUUGAGAGAGGCAUUGGAAGGACUGGACCAAGGCGACACACAUCCCGCCAUGGUCGGUUUUGUUAUGAUGUGCGAGGGAAUGGUAAUGAGGUUCAAGUUUGAGUUGGAGGAACUUAUAACCCGAAAAUCUACUCUGUGAUUUUUCCGUUUUUCUUGUACUCAGCUUGUGCUUUCUCAAGAGUUUGGUAUUUGAGUUGUAUUGGUUCGGGCAGUUAUGCCUUUGUAUUCUGUACUUUGACAAAUUUAAUGAAUGAGGAUGAUCCUCACUUUUAUUUCUUGG
rnacentral:lncRNA from 1 species